GCUGAAAUAGCUCAGCUAGAAGAGCAUUAGACUGACAAUCUAAAGGGCCCUGGUUCAAGCCCAGGUUUCAGCA